rnacentral:rRNA from 1 species
UACGUAGGCAGCGAGCGUUGUUCGGAGUUGCUGGGCGUAAAGGGUGCGUAGACGGUUAUGUAAGUCAGGUGUGAAAGCCCCGGGCUCAACCUGGGAAUUGCAUUUGAGACUGCAUAGCUAGGGUGCGGAAGAGGGAAGCGGAAUUUCCGGUGUAGCGGUGAAAUGCGUAGAUAUCGGAAGGAACACCAGUGGCGAAAGCGGCUUCCUGGUCCAGCACCGACGUUCAGGCACGAAAGCGUGGGGAGCAAACAGG